CUCUCUCCAGUGGGGGUUAAAAAGUGAGAUAUUGAUGUGACGCAAGCCUCCAGUGUCGCUGUAAAGGAAUGAAAGAAGUACAGUCUUCUUCUUCUUCUUCUUCAUUAGUGCCUAAUUACAUUUCCUGCUUGCAGAGUGAGACUGCUUCUUUGAUGUAACACUAAUUAAUUGAGAUUUCCAAAAGAAAAGACGGCAACAGAAAAGGCAACAUUUCUUCAGCGGCUCUGGAGAAGGAUUAGCAGUAUAGUUAUUAUGGAUCGGAUUAUCUGCGCUCUAAAACAGUAUCUUAACAAUUAAGUUCAUUAGACAAAAAAAAAAGAACAAUGAGAAUCAAUAACGAUUUCACAACAUUUCAGGGUAGAUCAAUUUAUCAUGCUGUUAAGAGAAAUACAUCUCAUCCUGCUGACUGACAGAAAGCCGUUUGUUUGUAGAAUAAUGAAGCAGAGCUGAGGAGUACAAUGACUUCGUGUCAUAGAGAGGUCACAAGGUGGUGGACUUAAUUUAUCGUCCUCCUGAUGCCCCCCAUCAGCUGUAGUCUUGAGGGUGCAUGUUGAACCUAUUCUGACAUCCCGGUGUAGUCAGGUGAAGCUGUCAAAUCCAACAUUAAAGGCCAUUUUUGACCUUCAUAAAACAAUCUCAGCUUUAUUGGCUUUCGACCUCAUCUUACAGAUUUAACAAACUUUGUUGUGAUGUGAAACACUAACCUCUGGAUGAUUGGAGCUUCUUAUAUUUUUGUCAAUCAACUUGAUUGGGGUGAUUGGAUGGAGGGUCAUACGCUGUAUUCAGUAGGGGUGUCCCGAUAUAACUUUUUACCUCUGAUACAAUUCCGAUAUUGUAGCCUUCAAUAUUAGCGAUACCGAUAUUGAUCUGAUAUUACCAUAAACUUGUGCAUGAUAAGUUUUGCACUCAGCUGCAACAUCUUUUUCAGACUUGAAUAAAAAAUACUGCCUCAAGGCCAACACCACUCUUACUCUUUGGUACUUUGUUAGUACCUGAGUACACACUGUUGUUGUGAUUCGGUUGGGUCUACUUGCUGGAUCCAGAUGCUACUAGAUAGAGGUGCUGGAGCAGAGUCUGUAAUGGACUGCUUGUAUCGGAGUGCUGAUAUCAGAGAUUUUAGUUGGAGGAUGAUAUAAUCUGAUAUUUGAUUUUUUUGCUGAUAUCAUAGCGAUAUCAAUAUCGUAUCGGGACACCCCAAGUAUUCAGCCAUGUCUUCAGUGGAAUCUUAUUGAUGUUAAGGUUUCAAGCUCACUCUUGUUCACACAGUCCCUCUGGAGACAAACAGACAUCAAAAAUAGGUGUUAGUUUUAUUAAAUUAGAGUCCACAUAUACUUUACUGAGGGUGGAGUCAUUAAGGUAGCAGCCUCAGGUUCAUGUCAUUCCACACUCUGUCUUCCCUGUUUCUGACCGUCUCCACUGUCCCAACUUCUGAAUAAAGGUAUGAAAAAUCCCAUAAAUGAAUGCAAUUAAAAACAGUUAGCAGCCAACUCUUAGCAUUUGUGGGGUACUUGAUCUACCUUUACUUUACACUGCAGAUUCAGAACGUCAAACAUUAGCUAUAGCCGUCGCUGUAUUAAAAACGGUUGUGUGAGGACUGCAUACAAAAACAUCCGUCAGAACUCCUGAAGAUUCACAAUGUCACUAGACUAGCUCAAUAUUCAACAAAGUGAUGGCAUGGUAGUAUCGAUCUCAGCUCUCUGUAUGAUUGCAAAUCAGGUGCAUUUAAGAGUUUUUCUGAAGUUUUUAAGUGUUUUAUAAAAAGCACCCUUCAAACACCCUCUCAAUUUGAAAUGGUUUUAAAUUGCUUUCAAUGCAACUUGAUUUCAGCUUCUCACAAUGGCAACUUUAAGUCUUUUUCUCACAGUCAAUAAAAUUGAUAAUAUUAUGAUGAUUUUCAACACUUCUUGCCGCUUAUGAAUACAUUUGGAAUACCAAGAUGCCACUAUGUGAAUUUCUGAAUAUCUGGCUUUGGAUUAUAUGAGCUGCUUCUGUCAACCCAGGAGAUUUCUCAGGUAAACAGACAGGUGUUGCCUACCAGUUCUCAGAAUUCAAAGUAAAUCUCGAGUUUGAGUUUGAACAGUCAGUGUUUAUGCACCUAAAACCCAGAACAGCCUGCUCGCUCACUCAUCGUUUGCACAAACUCUGUCUUCAUUUACCUCUGCGUGUUGUCUUUCUGUGUCUCUGUCCUCACUUUUCUAAAGUUUAAUCACUCCGUUAAGCAAUUUGAGUUGCUCUUUUAUAUGAUUAAGCGCCUUCGAUUAUUUUGAACAUGUGUACAAAAGUAAUUGAAAGCUGCUGUGACCUCUAACAAGCUAAUAAUCACACUUCUACUCUGCAGCACUCGACAGAAUCGUUUGCAGACUCUUAUUGGUCCCAGGUUGGAUGGUGGAGUUCUCUCUUGAGGAAAAUUGUGAUCAUGAUGAAAGCGUAACAACACGACAGUCUUGGGAAUCACUUCUGUGCAAUAUUUUGCAGAUGGUGAGUAUAAUUAGUGUCCUGGUAUCAAAGGCAUUCACAGAAUCUGCUUCGUUGCAUCCUCCCUCUCUUUUUCUCUGUCUCCUGGUAAUAUUCUGCCCAGUUAGACAGUUUUUUUUCUUUCUGUUUCACUUGGAUAAUUUUUGAUUUUAUUCCAUCGAAGGCAGAACUGUGAACUCUGACCUCAAGUGCUGCUAAUUAAAAAAAUAAGAGCUGUUAAAAAACUUUUGUCUGGUAGUCACAGGCUCGGCCAGGAUUAUUUCUAAAAUCUGGGACUUGGACUAUGAGUGGGUGUUAAACACGAGCUCUUGGACUAUUUCCUGAAGGCUUGAAUUGAGAUAAAAGUGACAGCAGUUUGAUCCAAUUUUGUUUUUUCCUUAUUAACCAAGCCAGCGUUUGUAUUGCUCUUCCAAUAACCUUUAUACAGGUUUGCUUAGAGAUGCAACAACAAAUAUAUUUUUUGUCAAUUUGUUUUUUUGUUUUUUUAAUACUGAAAUAACUGCAACACUAGCUUUGUUUUCCUGGAUCAGGACAGACUUUUGCUUUUAUAUAGUUUGAGUAAAACUGUUGACAGCAAUAGUAAGGAGAGGGAUGAUGCAGUCAGGAUCUGUCUCACCUUGAGAGGUGGUUCUAGUUUGAGGAAUCACCUGUUCACUAUAUAUCAUCUCGUAUUUGAUUCAGAAACAGAAGCUGGUCAAUGGAGCAGAGGGGAAACGGUCGAUUUUUACAAUGAACCUUAACUUGCACCACAUUGACCCACGAUCAAUUAUGUUUUCUUUGUCACAAUAAUAAUACUUUUAUUUAUAACGCACUUCUACAAGUGCUCAAAGAUGCUUUAUAAGAAACACAAUUUAAAAUACAGAAAAUUUGGAGGAAUAAGACCAAAAAUUUAAAAGGUUAAAAUUUACAUAAUAUGAAAAGACAUUAAAAGAACACUUCACAGGUUUAAAGCCAGUUUUAAUUGGUAUUUUCACUGCUAUUUCACCACAACUUUUAUUACAAGUUGAACUAAAAAAUAGGCAAUUAAAAUACUGAAGGUGCUGACGAGACAUCGAAUACAAAGACAAAGUUCAAUAAGGGGAUUUCAGAGGAUUAGAGUCUAAUACAAGACUUUUUUGUUGUUGUUGCAAAGCUUAUCACAACUUUGAGAGUCAACACAGCAGCAAAUAUUAUAUCCUCUAAUAGUGAAAAGAUAGACAGUGUUUUGGAUCUAUUUGUGUCACUUCAACAAUACCUAAAAUCACUUGGACUUGUGUUUUUUUUGCUCCUGGAUCAGGCCUUCGCAAGAGGGUUCAGAAGCUCUUGAGUAAAUUGUCGAUCAGUCUGUUUACAUGGCCUGAGUUAUGAAAAAUAGCUUUAUAAACAGGCAGCGUCCUUAACAUCGUUAAAGACUGAAGCUCAGGACUCAGAUGGCUUUAAAUCACACAGAAGGUCAGGCCAUGAGCGAUGAGUAUUUUUUGUGUGUUUCAGCUCUGUUGAGUCAUGCGCCUGCUUCAAAAGGGUUUGUCGGGCCUGAGUUCUGCCUGAGGCACUCUUCGGCUCAGGAGCCAUCAGUGUCUCCCUGCCAAACCACAGCAGGCACUGGAAAGCACCAGCAAAGCACCUCCCCACACAAGCAAGAGCACACAACUGUCUAAACAUAAAAAAAGAAGCAAUACAACCACAUUUUGUGACAAAGAAUCAGUGAAACUGCAGAUUUCUGAUCUAUUUUCAGCCAAACGUGAUAAAUUUGGUCUCACUUUGCUCUCUGUAGCAGAAAAUUGAGCGCAUAAUUAGCACUUGAGGAUGACACAACAGGUGAAAAUGCUUACUCAUCUCAUCUGCAGAUAAAUGGGUGCUCACGCCAUCACACGCACACCUUGUACUCAUCAGUUACCCACGUGAGACAGGUGGUGCUGGAGAGUCAGUUUUUUCACUCUCUCUCUCUCCCCACAGCAGUGUGUGCUGGCAGCCUCCCCGGACAUACUUUGAGCCACCUACGCACACAAGUGUUGCAGAUGGGAUUUGGUGUAGCAUGAAGCUGAAUGUUCCUUUACAGUCCUGCAGGGAAGGAAAUCACACUUUCACUUUCUCACCUUUAAAUCCUGCAAACUCAAGGUCACAAUACUUGAAGAGGAGGCUGAUAAAACAACAAAGUCUGUCCCGCUGCUCAAACAAUUAAAUAAUGGAGCAGAGAAAUAUAAUUCACAAGAAUGUUAACAUUUUUCCAAGAAGAAAUACGCUAAUAGAAC
rnacentral:lncRNA from 1 species